rnacentral:lncRNA from 1 species
UUUUUCUUUAACCCUGUUUACCGGGCGCCUCGCGUGACAGUUCCACGGAAGCCCGUGGGUCGCUCGGGAGCCCGCUGUCCAGUUAGGUGCUGGACAGGUGGCCGUGACUCCUACUGGUGUACCGGUGCAGAUUUAAUACCAUGCGUGAGAAUCCCAGCCCCAGUAGGAUCUUUUGUACAACUUUAACUCACGGGUGAAUGGGUCAAUAGAAGAUCUCCACACCACGCCAAACAGAAAACAUCCAAGAUCGGUGUAUUACAUGAAGGCCAAAUUACAUGAAGCAAUUUUAACGCCGUGACAAAUGUAAACAGCUUAAAGAAGCUCGCAUUUAAUUUGCUAUUAAUACAACGCAAACAAGUUUCAAGUUUCAUUACUGAGAACAUCCUCACUCCGAAUUUUCGAAACCCGUCCCCCAGAUUCCCAGCGCCCACUCUCACUCGUGACAGCCCGCCCAGCGCUUACAGAGAUCAGGCUGAAGAAACCGGGCUCCGCGACACCGCCAAAGCGCCUUUCAUUCUUAGAGUCGGAAAUGGAAGAAGGGAAUUUGAUUGCAAACGGCACCGUUACAAUCCUUGACUGACGCUGGAAUCCUGGCUGUGACCUCUGACCCUGUGCCGUCAUCUGAAGCUCCUGUAAGAAACUUCACGAGGGUGUCUUUCUCCUGCCUGUGUAACACGGCUCUGCUAACCCGCCUGCACUGCCAACCUGUGUGAGGCUGGAACUGACACACGUCUGGAUUUCACUGCGCCUGGACUCCUGAAACAC